UAUGAGAGAGUUGGUCACCUCUCAGCCCCUCCACCUUGGGGUGCCCUAGUCGGACACUGCAGUUCCGAUGGAAAGGCUAAGAACCUCGCAAUGAGGUAAGGUGGGACUUUUCCUUCUGGAACCAAGCGGUUGGUUCCGAGGGGGGUGUGAUCCAGGUACCGCCGUAGAAACUGGAUUACGACGUCUACCCGGGAUUCAAACCCGGUCCCCUCCAGAAGUGAUUCUGGAUGA
rnacentral:hammerhead_ribozyme from 1 species